rnacentral:tRNA from 1 species
GGAUUGUGGCUUGGUGGUAGAGCAAUCGUCUGGCAUUUGCGAGGCCCUGGGUUCGAUCCUCAGCACCA